AAACCAGCACCUCAAGUGGUCAGGAUGAUUAUUGGGCCUAAAGCAUCCGUAGCCUGUUAUGUAAGUUUCCGGUUAAAUCCAUAUGCUCAACAUAUGGGCUGCCGAAAAUACUGCAUAGCUAGGGAGUGGGAGAGGUAGACGGUACUCGGUAGGAAGGGGUAAAAUCCUUUGAUCUAUUGAUGACCACCUGUGGCGAAGGCGGUCUACCAGAACACGUCCGACGGUGAGGGAUGAAAGCUGGGGGAGCAAACCGGAUUAGAAACCCCAGUAGUCC
rnacentral:rRNA from 1 species